UGAUGCGUUAACAGACAGCACUGCAAGGUAAGACGUAGGCUACAAGACCACCAAUUAAGGAGGGAAAUUUAGAUAAAUCAGUGUAGUUUACGCGGCAUAUGACAAGUGAACCGUAAUUGGAAUUAUUAUCGAUACUAUGUAAUGAAGGCAAGAUGAAACUAGGUGCAACAAUCUUUAGUAUCUCCUGAUUUAUGGAAGGAAAUCUAUGACCAUUAAGAGAAGAAAAAGGGAACAAAUGUUAGAAAAAUGUUCUGAAUACAAAGAGACAAUAGGAUUAUCUCUAUCACCUGGAUACCAUCACACUGACACCUGUAGCAAAAGUUAGCAUAAUUUGUAGAGGGGAGCAUACUGUACUUAAGAGAUGUGUUAUGCGAACAAUCUCCUUUAGUCUUAUAAUUUAUAAUAAACUCAUCAAUUGACGCUGUCAUCGGGAUCUACAUUGCAGUCACAUGAAGGUUUGUGUGUGGACAACAUAAAAAUUUACUGGGAAAGCAUCUAUUUAUAGAUGCUGAGUACACUGAACUGGAAUGGUAACACAUGUCGCAAUGAAUGAAGAAAGAAGCAUAAUGCUCAGUCCAAACGACAUUAGCAACCACACAAAGCAGCCAUAUAACCAAGUACCGGUAAUCAAGGUACCUAGUGUUGAGAGAAGCUGCAAAGAAAACAAGUCUGUUACCUAUUCCCAGCAGUAGACUUCAACCGUACAUCAAUCAAACCUUGCCUCUGCUGGCCCAGGUAUUUUAGUAUUAAUAAUGUGAAUGGUAUUUACAACAGGUGGCUCUGCACUCGGUGGUAGUCUCUUCAUGUGUAGAGUUUAUUGAAAAUAUUAGACACAUAAAUGUUCCUUUUGAUUGGUUGAAUUACUGUGCAUAUGUGUAUCUUAUGUAAUACACCUUUGCAACCAUUGUGGCAUAUAGAGCGAAUGGGUGUUGUAAACAUGCCAAUCAAUAUAGUGAAAAUGUUGGUAUGAUACAGUCAAAACAGCAUAUUAUUAGUGGCCAUUAUGCUAUUUUGAUUGAAUGAUUUAUUUAUUCAGUACCAUUAUAUACAAAAGAUACAAAGCAAACAAUAACAGGGAAGACAAUUACAUGAUACUAAGAAAGGUAAAAAAGAAACCUUAUUUCAGUUGGGGGUCCUUACAUUAACAAGCAAAUACAAAAUACAGAAGUAAAAAUAUGUUUUUCUUUGAAUGUAUUUUUUUUCUUGUGUAAAGUGGUGUUUUAAUUCUUUUUUUAAUGUGAGCUUUUUAAAAUUAUUCCUGCAAUUCAGCAUUUGUCUGUUAAUUAUUAAGAAUUUCUUUUCAUUCCAUAUUCAGUUGAAUACUUUAUAUGACAUGUUUU